GCAUAAGCACAAUUUCGAGGUGAGGAGAUUUGUCCCAGACAUCCAGGAUGGGAAGGGGGAUUAUCCAAUAUGGUUGGCUUCCAAAUUUAAAGAAGAGAGGCUUCUUUUGUUUUUGAAAGACCAAGUUAAAACAAAAGCGCAAAACUUCGACUCAACAAGAAAUAUAUGGUGGGAAGGACUUCGUUGCUUAAAGAUAUUACAAGAAGCUGGACAUAAUGUUGCACCAAGAGCAAUUAAAGGACUUGAAGAGUAUAGUCUUGUGUGGUUUGACGAGGACAAGCUUUGCAUGAAUCGUUUGCUACAAGAUAUCGGA